GACGAACCGUGCGAACGUUAUUCGGAAUCACUGGGCUUAAAGCGCGUGUAGGCGGCCCGGCACGUCCGUCGCUGAAAUCCCCCGGCUCAACCGGGGAACGGGCGCGGAUACGACCGGGCUGGAGGGGGGUAGGGGGGACGGGAACUUCCGGUGGAGCGGUGAAAUGCGUUGAGAUCGGAAGGAACGCCCGCGGCGAAAGCGCGUCCCUGGACCCCACCUGACGCUGAGACGCGAAAGCCAGGGGAGCGAACGGG
rnacentral:rRNA from 1 species